rnacentral:rRNA from 1 species
UGGGGAAUAUUGGACAUUGGGCGAAAGCCUGAUCCAGCCAUGCCGCGUGUGUGAAGAAGGCCUUUUGGUUGUAAGCACUUUAAGUGGGGAGGAAAAGCUUAUGGUUAAUACCCAUAAGCCCUGACGUUACCCACAGAAUAAGCACCGGCUAACUCUGUGCCAGCAGCCGCGGUAAUACAGAGGGUGCAAGCGUUAAUCGGAAUUACUGGGCGUAAAGCGCGCGUAGGUGGUUAUUUAAGUCAGAUGUGAAAGCCCCGGGCUUAACCUGGGAACUGCAUCUGAUACUGGAUAACUAGAGUAGGUGAGAGGGGAGUAGAAUUCCAGGUGUAGCGGUGAAAAGCGUAGAGAUCUGGAGGAAUACCGAUGGCGAAGGCAGCUCCCUGGCAUCAUACUGACACUGAGGUGCGAAAGCGUGGGUAGCAAACAGGAUUAGAUACCCUGGUAGUCCACGCCGUAAACGAGUCUACCAGUCGUUGGGUCUUUUAAAGACUUAGUGACGCAGUUAACGCAAUAAGUAGACCGCCUGGGGAGUACGGCCGCAAAGGUUAAA